GGAGACAAAGGUGACAAAUUCCAUU
rnacentral:piRNA from 1 species